CUUUAUUAAUCAGCUCAGUACUGAAAUGAUGGGGGGGCAUUUUGUAACAUUAAUAUUUUCAAAUUGGAAAAAAAAAGUUGUAAUGCAGGGUUUUCUGCUGACCUUCCAUGUUAAGAGCACUCUGCAGAGCCUAUUCCCCAACACCACACGUUGGGAGAAACAACUGCAAGGUAUCAACAAGCAACCUGCACAUCACCAGGGCAGUUCUUCCUUUAGGCUCUGCUAUUUCAAUUACCUUAGUAAAUAUAGAUCACAUAAUUAACAGAACACCUUUCUGUGCCAAAGAUUUUGAGAUGUACGCAGCAAAUGACUGUGGGUUUUUUGUCAUCUUUCCCCCAGUGGCAAGUCAAUAUCAUCCCCAAUAAACUAAAGGAGUUCAAGUGAUCUUGUAGUAAGGAUAAUCAUCUUUGAGUGGAAUUCAGGAAGCCUACACGUCCUGCUACAUCUCCCCACCCAGAGAAUCACUGUUUUCAAGCUAAACCAGAUUGCAGAACAGGGCUGCUUCUUGUCCUGUAUGUCGUAUAACAGAG